rnacentral:rRNA from 1 species
UUCUACAGCCAUGCCAGCCUGAACACGUCGGAUCUCGUCUGAUCUCGGAAGCUAAGCAGGGUCAUCAUAGUUAGUACUUGGCUGGGGGACUACCUAGGAAGACCAGGUGCUAUAGGCA